GACGAACGCUGGCGGCGUGCUUAACACAUGCAAGUCGAACGGAAAGGCCCUGCUUUUGUGGGGUGCUCGAGUGGCGAACGGGUGAGUAACACGUGAGUAACCUGCCCUUGACUUUGGGAUAACUUCAGGAAACUGGGGCUAAUACCGGAUAGGAGCUCCUGCUGCAUGGUGGGGGUUGGAAAGUUUCGGCGGUUGGGGAUGGACUCGCGGCUUAUCAGCUUGUUGGUGGGGUAGUGGCUUACCAAGGCUUUGACGGGUAGCCGGCCUGAGAGGGGGACCGGCCACAUUGGGACUGGGAUACGGCCCAGACUCGUACGGGAGGCAGCGGUGGGGAAUAUUGCACAAUGGGCGGGAGCCUGAUGCAACAACGCCGCGUGCGGGAUGACGGCCUUCGGGUUGUAAACCACUUUCGCCUGUGACGAGGCGUGAGUGACGGUAAUGGGUAAAGAAGCACCGGCUAACUACGUG
rnacentral:rRNA from 1 species